ACACCAGACUCCUACGGGAGGCAGCAGUGGGGGAUAUUGCACAAUGGGGGGAACCCUGAUGCAGCGACGCCGCGUGGGUGAAGGAGUGCUUCGGUAUGUAAAGCUCUAUCAGCAGGGAAGAAAAUGACGGUACCUGACUAAGAAGCCCCGGCUAACUACGUGCCAGCAGCCGCGGUAAUACGUAGGGGGCAAGCGUUAUCCGGAUUUACUGGGUGUAAAGGGAGCGUAGACGGCGGCGCAAGCCAGAUGUGAAAGCCCGGGGCUCAACCCCGGGACUGCAUUUGGAACUGUGCCGCUAGAGUGUCGGAGAGGCAGGCGGAAUUCCUAGUGUAGCGGUGAAAUGCGUAGAUAUUAGGAGGAACACCAGUGGCGAAGGCGGCCUGCUGGACGAUGACUGACGUUGAGGCUCGAAAGCGUGGGGAGCAAACAGGAUUAGAUACCCCGGUAC
rnacentral:rRNA from 1 species